AGUGAACGCUGGCGGCAGGCUUAACACAUGCAAGUCGAACGGCAGCGCGGUCAUCGGUCGGGCUGCGGGUGGGGGACGGGCGGGUAAUGCAGGGGAACGUGGCCAGCUGCGGGGGAGAGGGGGGCGAAAGACGGAAACAUACGCCAAUAGAGCAGAGGACGAAAGGGGGGAAGCGGAAGGCCUUGCGCCAUUGGAGGGGCCGAUGUCGGAUUGGCUAGUUGGUGGGGUAAAGGCGUACCAAGGCGACGAUCCGUAGCUGGUCUGAGAGGACGACCAGCCACACUGGGACUGAGACACGGCCCAGACUCCUACGGGAGGCAGCAGUGGGGAAUUUUGGACAAUGGGGGCAAGCCUGAUCCAGCCAUGCCGCGUGCGGGAAGAAGGCCUUCGGGUUGUAAACCGCUUUUGUUCGGGAAGAAAACCUGUGGGCUAAUACCCCGCUGGGCUGACGGUACCGGAAGAAUAAGCACCGGCUAACUACGUG
rnacentral:rRNA from 1 species